UACGGGGGGGGCAAGCGUUGUUCGGAAUUACUGGGCGUAAAGGGCUCGUAGGUGGCCAACUAAGUCAGACGUGAAAUCCCCAGGCUCAACCUGGGAACUGCGUCUGAUACUGGAUGGCUUGAAUCCGGGAGAGGGAUGCAGAAUUCCAGGUGUAGCGGUGAAAUGCGUAGAUAUCUGGAGGAAUACCGGUGGCGAAGGCGGCAUCCUGGACCGGCAUUGACGCUGAGGAGCGAAAGCCAGGGGAGCAAACGGG
rnacentral:rRNA from 1 species